CCCAACCCUAAUUUUUAAUUCAAGAUUUACAUCCUCUCUCCAUACCAGACGCUUUCUUCUUCCUUUUUCGCCUCCAAACCACUGAAUCACAUCAUCUCUGUCAUUCUUCUGUUCUUCGAGGUCAAGACAUGCAAGAUUUGUUUAAAUCUUCCUAAUCUACACCUUCUUUUGUCGGAUCCAGGUAAUAACCUACCAGGCCACCACCGCUUUCAUCCGCCAUGUAGUUUUAGAUUUGUGGACGGAGUAGAAGUAAGGAAGAUUUGUGGAUAUCCUUAUCACCAGCCUGAUUACAUCGGGGUUUAUUUUGAACAUUUUGUGGAUGCAAUAGAUUGGGAAAAAGUGUAUGUGGAUGGAAUAUAUGUAAAACGUUUUGUGGACGGAAUAGAUGUAAGAGGUUUUGUGGAUGGAGUAGAAGUAAAAAAGAUUUGUGGACGGAAUAAAUCUAUAGGUCUGACCAUAAUUAAAUGGACGGAACUGAAGUAAAAAAGAAUUGUG